GAGAGAGAGAGAGAGAGAUUAAGAUACAGUAGGUUCAACAGUUGAACAAAUAAUCCUUGCAAGAAAAUAAUAAAUCUACUUCAACUGUAUAGAACAAGGCUUGGCUCCCCAGACAAUUGGGAACAGCUACUACCAUUACAGAUGCAUUAGAUAUUUUUGAAACUACAGUACAUUGUGAAAGACCAACUUUUCAAUCAGAUUUGAAUACAAAACCAACAUUAACAUUGUAGAUUAGCAUAUUCCACAAACUAAAUUAAGAGGAAUAAAAAUUAGCUACUUCAUUGAAGGGAACAAAGUUUAAGUUUUCCUGAAUGAAGGGGAAAGAAAACAAUUAAACACUAUGCUACACUAGGCUUCUUCUCAUAUACGUACAUAUAGAAACCAGACCUCAUAGUGGAGAUAUGAUUUUAAAGAAGAAUGCUCAUACCU
rnacentral:misc_RNA from 1 species